CAGCAGUUGUCCUUCUAAUGGGGAUCCAGCAGGGUGGCCCCCUAGUAAUCAGCACAUGUUAGAAUGUGGGAAAAUCGGCAAUCGUUGCGCAGGCACUUUGGUGACUCUAGAUAACCUCUGCCCUAUCAACUUUUGAUGGUACUUUCUGCGCCUACCAUGGUGACCACAGGUAACGGGGAAUCAUGGUUCGAUUCUGGAGAGGGAGCCUGAGAAAUGGCUACCACAUCCAAGGAAGUCAGCAGACGCGCAAAUUAUCCACUCCCGACGCGGGGAGGUAGUGA